rnacentral:rRNA from 1 species
GACGUAGGGCGCGAGCGUUGUCCGGAAUUAUUGGGCGUAAAGAGCUCGUAGGCGGUUUGUUGCGUCGGCUGUGAAAUCCCGAGGCUCAACCUCGGGUCUGCAGUCGAUACGAGCAAACUAGAGUGUUGCAGGGGAGACUGGAAUUCCUGGUGUAGCGGUGAAAUGCGCAGAUAUCAGGAGGAACACCGGUGGCGAAGGCGGGUCUCUGGGGCAACAACUGACGCUGAGGAGCGAAAGCGUGGGGAGCGAACAGG